CGUACUGAGACACGGACCAGACUCCUACGGGAGGCAGCAGUGGGGAAUUUUCCGCAAUGGGCGAAAGCCUGACGGAGCAACGCCGCGUGAGGGAUGAAGGCCUCUGGGCUGUAAACCUCUUUUCUCAAGGAAGAAGAUCUGACGGUACUUGAGGAAUAAGCCACGGCUAAUUCCGUGCCAGCAGCCGCGGUAAUACGGAGGAUCCAAGCGUUAUCCGGAAUCAUUGGGUUUAAAGGGUCCGUAGGCGGUCUUAUAAGUCAGUGGUGAAAUCCCAUCGCUCAACGAUGGAACUGCCAUUGAUACUGUAAGACUUGAAUACUUGGGAAGUAACUAGAAUAUGUAGUGUAGCGGUGAAAUGCUUAGAUAUUACAUGGAAUACCAAUUGCGAAGGCAGGUUACUACUAAGUGAUUGACGCUGAUGGACGAAAGCGUGGGGAGCGAACAGGAUUAGAUACCCUGGUAGUCCACGCCGUAAACGAUGGAUACUAGCUGUUCGGAGCAAUCUGAGUGGCUAAGCGAAAGUGAUAAGUAUCCCACCUGGGGAGUACGCACGCAAGUGUGAAACUCAAAGGAAUUGACGG
rnacentral:rRNA from 1 species